CUCGCGCCUCAGGAUAUUGGGGUUGAGUUUCCUGGGUCAGACACUGCUGAUUCAGAAAGGGAUUAGGCAUUUAUAUGGAUAAUAUCAUCUUAACUUCGCUGGUAUACAAAAUGUAGAAGGGAUAUAAAUCCUCGUGCUUCAGGAUAUAAGCCUACCACUAACUGAUGGGGGUCAGGAAGAAACUUCUCCUAUGGGCAGAUCAUUUCUUCAGAUAAAGAAUAUUUCUUCUCCCAACCUGCCCUGCCUCACACCUACAGUACCCCGCAGCAACAAGAGAGCUCACUGACGUGAAAAGAAUGGAACAUGACAACAGCGAAGACGACGACAGCAGAGACACCUCCGAAGAAAUGCGCUAGAGCCCUUGGGCCGUCACGCUUCAGGAAUGUGCGUGAGGUACUAGGAUACCUGGAGAUGGGGGGUGUCCUGCUGGCCGUAGCCACUUUCGAUCUCCUGGCUUCUGCCCCCUACCCAGCUGGCAGGGCAUUGUGCAGCACCCUUUCCAGCCCACCUGGGUGCAGGAGACCAAGGAAGAGAGCAUCUGCCAUCCAGCUCCAUCCCAUCUAGAGCAAUUCCAGGAUGGAGCGGCUGAAGCGGAUGCUGAGGAGGAAGCCUGGGCAGGUGGCUCUGGAGCCAGUAGGGAGCAGCGUCCGUCUUGCCCAGGAGGAGAGUGGCCCCUCUGUCCCCGCGGGCGGGGAAGAGACCAGUGGGCAGGCAAAGCGGAGGAGCUCUCUGACCUUCUGGAGGAAGAGAAAACCACCAGCUCCCUUAGCAGGCCCUGAGGCACCUUCUGGUCCCAAAUGGAGGUGGCCCUGAGUGAUGCUAUGUAGGGACCCAGGAGAGGGCGUGAGCCAGGCAAGGUGGCUCUGCGGCUUCCUUUCCAGGAAGCAGAGGAGGCAGGAGCCCAGCCCCAGGGCCCAGCAGGAGCCAUCCACCCGCCUGGCCACCAAGGAGCCUCCAGCCAGCCCAGAGCAGGAGCUGGGCGGCUCCGGCAUGGGGACCAGCAGGUUCACCUACUCCCGAGGGGCCAGCAGCUCCUCUGUGGGUUCUGACAGCCCUGAGGUUGAAGGCUCCCUCUGUGCAGAGACCCCCAGUGCCCAGCAGCAGUGGGCUGAGGAGGAGGAAGAGGAAGAAGAGAAGGAGGAGGAGGAUGUGUCCCCUGAACAGGACACCAUCAGGGUCAUCCAGCAGCACCUCCAGGGCAGAGCUGAGAUACAAAAAUCCCCCAGCUGCGCUGCCCCCGAGUCUGUCCUGCCUCUUGUUCCAUCCCCACCCACGCAGGGGGGUCUUGUCCCAGAGAAUCCAUCACCCCCAAUGGGGGGAACUUCUCCCCUGUUUCCUGGCACCCCAAAGUGGGGGCAUUUGUCUCACGCAGGCCAAGGUGUCCGCUCCCUGCAGACACUGUCCCAGUUACAACCCCAGUCUGUUCAGGGUGACACUGGUUUCGGAAGCGGGGCGGUUUUCCCUGUCCAACUCCAUGGGGUUCCUGAGCCAUGGAGCUGGUGUAGGUGGGUUGGGGAGGUCCCCACCUAACCGUCUCAGUCUCUCUCUCCCCCUCCCCCCACUCCUAGUUGGUGGAGGACAGGGCCCAACAGCUCGGCUUCCUCCAUGUUGUCCCACGUCUGAGCUGCUUGGCACAGCAGCAGGAGCUGGACUCUCUGGAGCCCCAGGUCUCCAAAGCAGCCCUCGUGGAGAGCAUUGUGAAACGUCUGCAUCCCCUGGCAGCGAGGCAACUGGGCAGGUCGCUGACAGAGCU